rnacentral:rRNA from 1 species
GGGAAUGCGCAGCUACCAUGCAGUCGUACGAGAAGGUUCCUUCGGGAACUGGAGAGUGGCGCACGGGUGAGUAACGCGUGGGGACCUACCUCUUAGUGGGGGAUAACGGUUGGAAACGACCGCUAAUACCGCAUACGCCCUUCGGGGGAAAGAUUUAUCGCUAAGAGAUGGACCCGCGUUGGAUUAGAUAGUUGGUGAGGUAACGGCUCACCAAGUCAGCGAUCCAUAGCUGGUUUGAGAGGAUGAUCAGCCACACUGGGACUGAGACACGGCCCAGACUCCUACGGGAGGCAGCAGUGGGGAAUAUUGGACAAUGGGCGCAAGCCUGAUCCAGCCAUGCCGCGUGAGUGAAGAAGGCCUUCGGGUUGUAAAGCUCUUUCAGAUGCGAAGAUGAUGACGGUAACAUCAGAAGAAGCCCCGGCUAAUUUCGUGCCAGCAGCCGCGGUAAUACGAAAGGGGCAAGCGUUGUUCGGAUUUACUGGGCGUAAAGGGCACGCAGGCGGUCCUGCCAGUCAGGGGUGAAAGCCCGGGGCUCAACCCCGGAACUGCCUCUGAUACUGCAGGACUAGAGACUAGGAGAGGGUGGUGGAAUUCCCAGUGUAGAGGUGAAAUUCGUAGAUAUUGGGAGGAACACCAGAGGCGAAGGCGGCCACCUGGACUAGAUCUGACGCUCAGGUGCGAAAGCGUGGGGAGCAAACAGGAUUAGAUACCCU